rnacentral:lncRNA from 1 species
GCUCUCUGCUGCCCCAGGAAUGGGCUGAUUUCCUGAGUACACAUUAAUCUGAGCUCCCUCAGCCCUAGGGGUAGGGGGAUUGGGGGCACAAGAUGGGUGGAGCCAGAUAGGGAAGAUUCCCCCAGUGUUGUCCUGCUCCCAGUCCAGGUUUGGGACAAUGCCGGCAGCGUUUCCCUGUGUCUUUCCCCCACAAAGUCUCCAAGUCUUUCCUCAAAUGAUCGUCAAGGUUUGGGAGAAACAAUCUCUUCCUCUGCCCGGGUUGCGUGGAUCUCCAGUGGAAAGGAAGAACCGGAACUAUGGUUUGUGCCUGCCUUAUUGCCUCCAAAAUAUUUUUAACUGCAGAGGAAAGCCUGUAUUAUUUUGGAGAAAGGCAAACAGAUAAAACCCACAGCAGUAAAUUUCAGGGACUAGAAACUCCUUCUCAGAAUAGAUAUGUUGGAUAUUUUGCACAAGUGAAACAUCUGUACAACUGGAAUCUCCCUCCAAGACGGAUACUCUUUAUAAAAAGAUUCAUUAUUUAUUCAAUUCGUGGGCGAUGUAUGUGAUCUAAAAUUCCAAAUAGUAAUGGAGAAAAAGGUUGUCUUUUCCAGUACUUCAUUAGGAAAUUGUUAUACUGCAUGACAUUGAAACAGCCGGUGUAUUAACUAAUGUAUAUGACAGUCCACCUCUGUAUGAUGAUGUGAAAGUGCAAUUUUUCUCUUCAGUGACCUAAGUACUGUGACAAUUGUUCAUUUUUCUUCUGGUUCAACACAUCUUUUAUUCAAAAUAACAAGGCUUUAUCUACCAAGAAAUGAAUUGGAUAAUCCACAUAAACAAAAAGCUUGGAAAAUUUAUCCACCAGAAUUUGCCGUGGAGAUACUUUUUGGUAUGGUUUCUGUGGAUUCUCUGCUCUUUGUGCUCUCCUCCCCACAUUGGUGGCUCCAUCUGGCACAGGGAAGCUUCUGGAUGUCAGAAGGUGGAUUCUCACUCUGUCACCCAGGCUGGAGUGUAGUGGCACAAUCUUUGCUCACUUCAACCUCUGCCUUCUGCGUUCGAGCAAUUCUCCUGCCUCAGCCUCCCGAGUAACUGGGAUUACAGGGACAGUAAGUGGUGUUUCCUGGGAGAUGCUACGGUGUUAUUUUUGCACUACAAGGGCUCUGAAGACUGCCAGGCUUGAAGUGAAGAACCACGUCACCUGCCUAUCCCAGCCAGGUGACAGUGGACAAGGGGCUUCACCUCUGAGCUGUUUUCCAGCUGUACUGGGCACAUUCCUCCUCUCACC